AGCCCGGUCGUCUAGCGGCCAAGGGGCCACGGAGGGGGGCCCGGCUAUGGAUGCGGGGCUUUGGACCCCGUGGCCCGGGUUCGAAUCCCGGCCGGGCUA
rnacentral:tRNA from 1 species